rnacentral:rRNA from 1 species
UGAAGCUGGAUUCGCUAGUAAUCGCGCAUCAGCCACGGCGCGGUGAAUACGUUCCCGGGCCUUGUACACACCGCCCGUCAAGCCAUGAAANCCGGGGGGUACCUGAAGUGCGUAACCGCAAGGAGCGCCCUAGGGUAAAACUGGUGAUUGGGGCUAAGUCGUAACAAGGUAGC